rnacentral:miRNA from 1 species
AGUGGAGAGGUCGUUUCUUCAC